UACGAAGGGGGCUAGCGUUGUUCGGAUUUACUGGGCGUAAAGGGCGCGUAGGCGGUUUAGCAAGUUGGAAGUGAAAGCCCGGGGCUUAACCUCGGAACUGCUUUCAAAACUGCUAAGCUAGAGUGUAGUAGGGGAUGAUGGAAUUCCUAGUGUAGAGGUGGAAUUCUUAGAUAUUAGGAGGAACACCGGUGGCGAAGGCGGUCAGCUGGGCUACAACUGACGCUGAGGCGCGAAAGCGGGGGGAGCAAACAGG
rnacentral:rRNA from 1 species